rnacentral:rRNA from 1 species
CCUACGGGAGGCAGCAGUAGGGAAUCUUUCACAAUGGGCGAAAGCCUGAUGGAGCAACGCCGCGUGCAGGAUGAAGGCCUUCGGGUUGUAAACUGCUUUUAUAAGCGAGAAAUAUGAUGGUAACUUAUGAAUAAGGAUCGGCUAACUACGUGCCAGCAGCCGCGGUCAUACGUAGGAUCCGAGCAUUAUCCGGAGUGACUGGGUGUAAAGAGUUGCGUAGGUGGCAUAAUAAGUAGCUAGUUAAAACUGGUGGCUCAACCAUUCAGACUAUUAGCUAAACUGUUAAGCUCGAGACCGUUAGGGGUAACUGGAAUUUCUAGUGUAGGAGUGAAAUCCGUAGAUAUUAGAAGGAACACCAAUAGCGUAGGCAGGUUGCUGGGACGGUUCUGACACUAAGGCACGAAAGCGUAGGGAGCAAACGGGAUUAGAUACCCUUGUAGUC